rnacentral:lncRNA from 14 species
AGCUUCAGUGGUUGUCACAAGCCAUGAAAUUCUCAGUGCUUGUCUAUUCUUCCUCAACGCUAACACUGCUCUGAACAUGGCACUGGCUCACUGAAGCAACGAAAAUGAAAUAAGAGUCAUCUUUGAAAUGAGUCUGCUCAACGUCAGGACAGAUUCCCUUGUCUUAUGGUUUUGAAAUUUCGGAUACCUGCAAGAGAUGCCUGGAAAACACUCUGAUGACCGGCUAGUUGCUGAAUAGAAGCACCUUAGAGGCUCAGAAGGGACCACAAAUUCCUAUUUUGCCACCUAAUGCUUGAUAAACUGUAUGUGUGUUUAUGUGAAUAGGACUGCUACAAAGAG